GUGUCAGCAGCCGCGGUAAUACGUAGGGUGCAAGCGUUGUCCGGAAUUAUUGGGCGUAAAGAGCUCGUAGGCGGUUUGUCGCGUCUGCUGUGAAAACUCAGGGCUUAACCCUGAGCCUGCAGUGGGUACGGGCAGACUAGAGUGUGGUAGGGGAGAUCGGAAUUCCUGGUGUAGCGGUGGAAUGCGCAGAUAUCAGGAGGAACACCGGUGGCGAAGGCGGAUCUCUGGGCCAUAACUGACGCUGAGGAGCGAAAGCAUGGGGAGCGAACAGGAUUAGAUACCCUGGUAGUCC
rnacentral:rRNA from 1 species